rnacentral:lncRNA from 1 species
UGUGUAUAGCUGUAGGAGUAUUUGUUAUUUUAUUAAGAUAUUAAUAAGAUAACUGAUUCCUUUUGGCAGUUGUAGUGUUUGUAGUGGUGCUACAAUAGUCAAGUAUACUCUUUUUAUUUUUUUCUUAUUCUUAUUUCUUAAUUAAGAAGUCUCAUCGUUCACAAGUCAUGUAUUAAAUCUUCAUUAUCUUCAAUAUAUAAUUUGAGUAGUAAUUUGUGGAUUCUAGAGCCAUUUCAAUAGAAUGCAUGGAAUUGAAUUUGAUUUGUGGUUUUUAAUAUAUGUAAUUUUAGUCUUAGGAUUCAUAAUUUGUUAAGCUUUGUCACUUGUUCUUGUAGAAUAAGAUACUUUGGAAGAUUGUCCAGGAAAAAUAAAAG